AUGAAGAUUCAUUACCUUUUCUCUGCUCUUUUCUUCCUUGGCCUGCUGUCUACCUCAGCUCUAUGCAACUCAUUUUCAUCUAGCAGUACGUCUCCAAAACCUGAAUCUUCACAAGAAAGCCGUACAGCAAUUAACCAGUGUUGCAAGGAUUGCCUCUGUAAUAAAGGUAAACCUGGGAGCUAUUGCUUAGAAUUUUCAAAAAUGUACAAGUGGUAGGAUGAUUCCAGGGCAGUGCAUGACUACAUAUAUCAUGUAAACACACCGGCCUAGAAAAC
rnacentral:lncRNA from 1 species